AUGGGGCGCAGCAGGCGCGAAAACUUCGCAAUGCAGGAAACUGUGACGAGGGAACUCCAAGUGUCCAUGCAUUGCAUGGACUGUUUACCAGCCUAAAAAGCUGAUAGAGUAAGGGGUGGGAAAGACCGGUGCCAGCCGCCGCGGUAACACCGGCACCUCAAGUGGUAGCCACUAUUAUUGGGCCUAAAGCGUUCGUAGCCGGCUUGGUUAAUUCCUGGGUAAAUCGUACCGAUUAACGGUGCGGAUUCCGGGGACACUGCCAGGCUUGAGACCGGGGGAGAUCAGAGGUACUUGCGGGGGAGCGGUGAAAUGUUGUAAUCCCGCAGGGACCACCAAUGGCGAAGGCAUCUGAUCAAAACGGCUCUGACGGUGAGGGACGAAACCCUGGGGCGCAAACGGGAUUAGAUACCCCGGUAGUCCAGGGCGUAAACGCUGCUGACUUGGUGUUGGGGGUCCUGNGAGGGCGUCCAGUGCCGGCACGAAGGUAUUGGGUCAGCCGCCUGGGGAGUACGGUCGCAAGACUGAAACUUAAAGGAAUNGGCGGGGGAGCAC
rnacentral:rRNA from 1 species